UACGUAGGGUGCGAGCGUUAAUCGGAAUUACUGGGCGUAAAGGGUGCUCAGGCGGUUCUGCAAGUCAGGCGUGAAAGCCCCGGGCUUAACCUGGGAAUGGCGCUUGAAACUACAGGACUGGAGUAUGGCAGAGGGAGGUGGAAUUCCACGUGUAGCGGUGAAAUGCGUAGAGAUGUGGAGGAACACCGAUGGCGAAGGCAGCCUCCUGGGCCAAUACUGACGCUCAUGCACGAAAGCGUGGGGAGCAAACAGG
rnacentral:rRNA from 1 species